rnacentral:rRNA from 1 species
CUGCCCUUCAGAGUUUGAUCCUGGCUCAGGACGAACGCUGGCGGCGUGCCUAACACAUGCAAGUCGAGCGGAGAAUAUCAAAGUAGCUUGCUACAUUGAUAUUCUUAGCGGCGGACGGGUGAGUAACGCGUGGGGAACCUGCCUUGUAGAGGGGGAUAGCCUCGGGAAACCGGGAUUAAUACCCCAUAAAACUCAAAUAUCGCAUGAUAUAAGAGUCAAAACAAUAGUGCUACAAGAUGGUCCCGCGUCCCAUUAGCUAGUUGGUGAGAUAACAGCCCACCAAGGCGACGAUGGGUAGCCGAUCUGAGAGGGUGAACGGCCACAUUGGGACUGAGACACGGCCCAAACUCCUACGGGAGGCAGCAGUGGGGAAUAUUGCGCAAUGGGGGGAACCCUGACGCAGCAACGCCGCGUGAGCGAAGAAGGCCUUCGGGUCGUAAAGCUCUGUCUUAAGGGAAGAAGAAGUGACAGUACCUUAAGAGGAAGCCCCGGCUAACUACGUGCCAGCAGCCGCGGUAAUACGUAGGGGGCAAGCGUUGUCCGGAAUUACUGGGCGUAAAGGGUGCGUAGGCGGCCAAAUAAGUCAGAUGUGAAAGUCCAGGGCUCAACCGUGGAAUCGCAUUUGAAACUGUAUGGCUUGAGUGCAGGAGAGGAGAGCGGAAUUUCUAGUGUAGCGGUGAAAUGCGUAGAUAUUAGGAAGAACACCAGUGGCGAAGGCGGCUCUCUGGACUGUAACUGACGCUGAGGCACGAAAGCGUGGGGAGCGAACAGGAUUAGAUACCCUGGUAGUCCACGCCGUAAACGAUGAGUGCUAGGUGUCGGGAGUCGAAUCUCGGUGCCGGAGUAAACACAAUAAGCACUCCGCCUGGGGAGUACGACCGCAAGGUUGAAACUCAAAGGAAUUGACGGGGGCCCGCACAAGCAGCGGAGCAUGUGGUUUAAUUCGAAGCAACGCGAAGAACCUUACCAGGACUUGACAUCGCUUGAAGAGCCUAGAGAUAGGAAGUUCUCUUCGGAGACAAGCAGACAGGUGGUGCAUGGUUGUCGUCAGCUCGUGUCGUGAGAUGUUGGGUUAAGUCCCGCAACGAGCGCAACCCUUGUAUUUAGUUGCCAGCAUAUAAGGUGGGCACUCUAAAUAGACAGCCGUAGAGAAUACGGAGGAAGGUGGGGAUGACGUCAAAUCAUCAUGCCCCUUAUGUCCUGGGCUACACACGUGCUACAAUGGUCUGUACAAAGGGAAGCGAUACCGCAAGGAGGAGCGAAUCCCAAAAAGCAGAUCCCAGUUCGGAUUGCAGGCUGCAACUCGCCUGCAUGAAGUCGGAGUCGCUAGUAAUCGCGGAUCAGAAUGCCGCGGUGAAUGCGUUCCCGGGCCUUGUACACACCGCCCGUCACACCACGAGAGUUGGCAACACCCGAAGUCAGUGAACUAACCUUUAUAGGGAGUAGCUGCCGAAGGUGGGGCCAGUAAUUGGGGUGAAGUCGUAACAAGGUAGCCGUAUCGGAAGGUGCGGCUGGAUCACCUCCUAAGGGCAGCUUGGCGUA